UGGUAAAAAUCUGAUCCCCUGACCUGAAUUGCUUUAGAUGAUUUUUUGUAUUUGAACCACUCUAACAAAUACAUUUUUGAAUUUACUGAAAUAUCACAUAUCUGAAGUGAAAUGUUUUUCACCUACAAGUGUAAAAAAACUAAAAUAGAAAAGUUAAAUGUUGACAUUAACCAUGAAAUUAUACAUAUUUAAAAACUUAAAUGGAUCCUUAGUAAUUGUAAUUUAUUGUUUUAAAAGCACCCUUGAUGUUCUCACUCUGACCUUUGGAAAGUUUCUGGUGCUUCUCUCUGUUUUCUUUCAUCAGCAGAGAGCGGUGCCAGUCCCACGUUCUUUGGCCAGGCACGCUCGGCGACAGAAAUAUCUCCCAGACCCCGCCGUGCACAGAUGGGCUCUCAGCUUGGCUUGUCACGACUCGCCGUCUAUUGCAGGAGGUUUUAUGAUGGACGGUCGGUUUCUGAAGGAGAGCGUCUUCCGUGGAGUACGUGGCCGGAGACACGGAGGAUGCCCUGGCUGUCACCUGGCUGGUUGCCGGGGAAAACCGUAGAGUCUGGAAUGAGGCUGAUGCUGCAGCAGGAAGUGUUGUGGGUUCGCCUUUCUGAGGCAUAUCAACACUUCCAUUUCUUUCAAACUUAAAUUGCCUCAACGACUUCUACCAUUUGCGUGGUCCGAAAAUAUUCCAGAGUUUUCCACGCUGCAGAUCCGAAAACGACCACAGAACAACUGAAGCGGGCCGUGUGCAUUUUUGAGAGCACUCUUCUCUGGUAUUCAUGGAGUCCCACGGUUACAGUGACGUGCGCAUCAAGUGCCGUCGCACUGGCAGGCGUCGGACGCAUGCAGAGGAUCCACACGGUUUGUGACGUCACACCGCCGAUUCUGCAUCGACGGGAUUAUGAGUGUUCGCCUUUAAUGAGACAUUACAAGGAGGAAAAAGGUAAUGAACAAAAAAACGCAUCAUUUUAGGAAUACUAUUAAUCCUAUAGAGUUUUUAAAUGUAAGGAUCCUUCAGUCAUCUAACUCAGAAAAAAUAAAAGCUCAGGUAAGUAGGCUUUGAACCCCCCCAACCCAACCCCAUGCAGGCUGGAAAACAUCAAGCUGUGUGCUGAACAAGAUCCCACACUCUAACAUUUCCAUGUGCAGCCUUCACAAAGUCUAAAAACCAAAAAAAAACAGCAAGCUGGGAUGUUGGCUUGCUCCAACCGAAUAAACAACAGAAACCUGGAAUAAAUGUCCACGAUGCAUAAACCCAGAGACAUAUAGAAAUACAGAUAACUGCAGAUGUGAAACGAUCAGCCAUCAAGUAUCAGGGAAGAGGAGUCUCAGCUUGACAACGUGAUAUAAUGAGCUUUUAUGUUGUGGGUAAUGAGACGAGGGGAAAGAACGACGUACAGAAGAGAGGAAGGAAAGAUGGGGGGGGUGAGAAAUCAAACACAAAUACACAACCACACACGGCGCUCCACCGUUUCACGAGCACCUUCCAACUGUGACAAAAGUCUUGGCUGUUGGAAAGGUUAGGAUUUCAAUUUUAGCUGCACUGGGUCCCCGCAGUGGAGACGGCGAUACGGCAAAGAUGAAAAGGUGAGGCCGGCACAUUUAGAAAGGGUCAGGGGCCAAGGGCAUUAUUUAUUUGUCAUGUAUUAGUUUGGAAGAUUGUGUGCCGUUUGUGUGAGUGUGUGCUCCAGGUGAGAGAGUCAGCGAGAGGAAGGGGCGGGGUGCUAAAGGUCUCUGUUGAUGAUUUACACGCUCCAUCGAGCAGACCGCCGGGGCGUGAAAAGUGACAUGGCCUGUUCCUCCAGCCUGCCUGACCCCAAUCUCCGCUCUACAGCGGGUCCCCGUGCCGCCUGCCCACUCCGCAAAGCUCCUCCCCCGUGGUCCUCCACCUUAUCACAUCAAGAAAAACAUCCACACACCUGGACACGAACACGUCCUCCCACCAGACCAGAGUCAUCUGGUUUGACCUUCAAAAAGGAGCAGAUUGAAGUCUAUCGGAAAGAUCAGGAGCUUCACUCAGGAGCUUCUCAGACCUGAGAAGGUCAUUGGAAGGAAAACUUCUUCCAUCUGCCUCCAUUAAGGAGCCCGUGACCUUCGGCUUCAGCGCUAAAUCCCUAUUUGUGUUCCUGCUCCGUGUGUGCAUGAGUCUGCCUGACAGGAGGCUUGUUUGCUCCAUGUUUUUAUUGCAAUAAAAAGCUUCGGCACACGCAGCUACAUAUGUCAGCACCAGCUCCUCUCUGUUCUCUCCUUUGUAAUUGAAAUCAAUAGACGCAGAUAUCACACCCUGUUCUGUCACUACACAUCUGCUGCAACAACGGCCAACAAAAGAGCAACUUGCCUUCCUGGUGAAUACACAUGACCUGCGUUCACACACACACAUGCGGACACACUCUCAGGCUUCACAGGCACCCAAAUUGACACUCCAGAGGCUUGAUUACAGAUGGGGGUUGUUGAAGAAAGGACGCACAUGUUUGCGUAGAGAAAAAUGGUUUGAGCACGCGAU